UACGUAGGGCGCAAGCGUUGUCCGGAAUUAUUGGGCGUAAAAGAGCUCGUAGGCGGCUUGUCACGUCGGGUGUGAAAGCCCGGGGCUUAACCCCGGGUCUGCAUUCGAUACGGGCUAGCUAGAGUGUGGUAGGGGGAGAUCGGAAUUCCUGGUGUAGCGGUGAAAUGCGCAGAUAUCAGGAGGAACACCGGUGGCGAAGGCGGAUCUCUGGGCCAUUACUGACGCUGAGGAGCGAAAGCGUGGGGAGCGAACAGG
rnacentral:rRNA from 1 species